CCGAGUAAGGGUCGCCCCCAAGGCGCCCGACCUCCCAACCCUGUGUCUACACUACCUUGUCGUUGCUUCGGCGGACCGGUUGACGACCAACUGGUUCCAAUGACCGCCGGGGUCGGCCCAGCCGCCCUGGAGAGCGUCCGCCGACGGCCAUCCACAAAAACUCUUGAACAAAACCGUGUCGUCUGAAUCUAUUUUAUUGAUUAAACAAAUCAAACCA
rnacentral:misc_RNA from 1 species